rnacentral:tRNA from 1 species
GAUGAAGGCUCAUUGGUAGAGCACAUGCAUAGCAUGCUUGAGGUCCUGGGUUCAAUCCCCAGCACUG